rnacentral:misc_RNA from 1 species
GAAGAAACCAAGCGCCUUCUCCUACAGAUCGCUGGUCAUAAAGAUCUUCUUGAAGGAGACCCAUACCUGAAGCAAAGGCUUCGACUUCGUGAUGCCUAUAUCACAACACUUAAUGUCUGCCAAGCUUACACUUUGAAGCAGAUUCGUGAUCCUGACUACCAUGUAACAGUAAGACCACACUUAUCAAAAGAAUACAUGGAAUCAAGCAAACCAGCUGCGGAGCUUGUCAAGCUUAACCCUACUAGCGAGUAUGCUCCUGGUCUGGAAGAUACCCUCAUUUUGACCAUGAAGGGUAUUGCUGCUGGCAUGCAAAACACUGGUUAAGAUGUAGUAAUGAUGUUAUUUCAGAUUCCAUCAUACAUAUAAAAUAGACUCCACUGAAAAAAAUGAGC